rnacentral:rRNA from 1 species
GAGUUUGAUCUGGCUCAGGACGAACGCUGGCGGCGUGCCUAACACAUGCAAGUCGAACGGAACUGUUUUGAAAGAUUUCUUCGGAAUGAAUUUGAUUUAGUUUAGUGGCGGACGGGUGAGUAACGCGUGAGUAACCUGCCUUCAAGAGGGGGAUAACAUUCUGAAAAGAAUGCUAAUACCGCAUGACAUAUCGGAACCACAUGGUUCUGAUAUCAAAGAUUUUAUCGCUUGAAGAUGGACUCGCGUCCGAUUAGUUAGUUGGUGAGGUAACGGCUCACCAAGACCGCGAUCGGUAGCCGGACUGAGAGGUUGAACGGCCACAUUGGGACUGAGACACGGCCCAGACUCCUACGGGAGGCAGCAGUGGGGAUAUUGCGCAAUGGGGGCAACCCGUGACGCAGCAACGCCGCGUGAAGGAU